GUAAGAAAAGUUCAUGAUUAAUUUAGAAAACUGGUAGAAUAUUAUUGAAAUUACCUUGAUCUCCAUUGUAGGGGAUAUUUAUCUUUCAGGAUAACCGCCUAAUGAAUAAUAAUUCCAAUUAUUCCACUGUUGAUCCACUGUAAACGGCUCAACACAUGUGUUCCAAAAUUUCAAUUAAAUUAACAUUUUGCUCUAAAAUUAUCUCUUUAUUGAUCUUUACUUUUACAAUUUGUUAAAUUACAUUCGUUUCUUUGAAUUUUAAUACAAUUUACAUGACCAAUUAAUCGCGAAUCAAAUAUAAAUUUACUGUUUCGUCGACAUGUUUAAUUUUAAAACCAAUUAUUUUCAGAUGAAUGUAUGAUCGAUUAGAUGUUGAAUCGACGGAGUACGAUAAUUAAAGAGAAAGAUUUCAGUCGCCUUCGCAUUCACAACAGCUCGGAAGAUUGGGGUGUUACACUCUUGCAUGUACGAGGAGUUGCUGACCACUACACCACCGAGGAAACAAUCUGUGUGGGAUUGUUAUGGGGUCCAGACAACUGGCCCUUCGAGGGGGGGGGGGAUCUGAAGGAUAGGAGGUCACUGUUCGGGAGGUAGUCAUCAUCGUCGGUUCUUGGAAUUCCCUCACAAAGCUUGUGGAUAUCAAGAUGAAACAUCAGCACGACCGG